rnacentral:tRNA from 3 species
GGAGGGGUUCCCGAGUGGCCAAAGGGAACAGACUGUAAAUCUGUCGGCGUACGCCUUCGGUGGUUCAAAUCCACCCCCCUCCACCA